CAUGUGACCUCAUUUGAAUCUGGGAGGGGUUUCAGGGAGGGAAAGAAAAAUGAAUCAAUGUGAAAAAGAUAUAGAAGCUGCAUUCAUAUAAGAGAAAAAAAAAAAGAUUUUUAAAACAUGUUUUUGUUUUUUUGAGGAAAAAAAACACAACCUGUGGCAAAGUGAUUUCCAUUCAGUGUUUUCUUGCAUUUUUUUUUUUUUAUUUCUUCUUCUUCUUUCUUGUUUUGUUUUUUUGUUUUUUUUCUCUCUCUCUUUCUUUUCUUCCUCGUUUAAAGUAAACUUGAAAGUUCACUUCGGGAAUUGGCGCGUCAUCUUGCUUCUGGUGCCGACAGCAACAAAAAAAAAAAAAGCCAAAAAAAUACUUCAAAAAAAAAAAAAAACAGAGAGAGAGUGACCCAAAAAAAAAAGAGGAGGAGAAGAAGAAGAAGAAGAAGAAGAGCGGGCCAGAAGCAGUCCACGCCAGUUUCUCUGAGAAAUAAGACUACUUCCAAACAGUUUUGAAUAAAAACUGUCUGAUCAAUAUUAGACUCUCUCAGAGCUCUCUAAUGGUUUUUACAUUUUUCAGGCAGUGUAAAGUUUUUUGAUAAGGCCAUUUUAAGUGGCUCUGUUUCUCAUUCAAAGUCUAUAUAUAGAACCACUUUUUUCUAGAGUAGUUUAAAGGUAAAAAUGAAAAAAAGACAUUUGCCCUGUUUGGGGGGGAGAAAUGCUACCUACUUGUGUCACCUUUUGCUGAACUGACUCACAGAUAGACAAUCCGUGGUUUAAAUGCACAUGAUGAAAUGACCUAUAUUUUCUACUGUUUAAAUGUAUAGAGGUUAAAAGAAAAAAGAAAAAAAACGGCAAAAAAAAACAAAAAAAGAUACUAAGAUUACCCGUAAACCCGCGUUAACGUCGGUGCUUCUCGUGAGUUUAGUUGUGGUUUCAUCACAAGUCUAACGGUCUUAAAUGUCUCAUGUUUUUCAAGAGAAGACUAAAAAAAUCAGUUUACUUGAACAAUAGACAAAGCCUUUCAUAUUAUUAUAAUACUUACUUUCUUUUUCUUUUGUUUAAUUUGAUUUUCCUUCAUUUUUUUCUUUUUUUUUUUUUUCUUUUUUUUUUUUUUAAGGAGUCCCUAUUUGCUAAAUUUCUUGUUGGUUAAUUAGCUAUAUAAAAUUCCUAAAAAUAUAUAUAAAUAUAAAUAUAUCUAUAUAUAUAUAAUGUCAGCUUGUGAAGCAUCAAUGUCAUUAUUAUUUUAUUUCUCUCGUGGGAAACAAUAUUUAGAUGUGUUUCGUUGUUCGGCAAAAACGUCUUAUAAAGAAAAAAAGACAAGAUCAGUGGAGUUUAGUGCCAAAUUCUGAAAGGUACUUCCUGCCUAGCGCGUCAGUGUAUUUCUUGUGAAAUUAUUUGAUAACAUGGGUAUUUUAUUAUAAGUGUUUUGUAUGGAUCCCUCAUAUUUAAAAAUAUAGAUUUAAAAAAGAGUUUGUUAACUUGCUAUUCUGUGGUCUUGUUGCCUGAAAAAUGUCAUGUUUGCUUUUUUUCUUUGUAAAGAUGUACAAAAAAAAACAACAAAAAAAGUGCCCAUGUGUCAUAUAUAUAUAUAAAUAUAUAUAUCUAUAUACACACACAUGCAGACACACACAAACACUCACUCUCACACACGCGCGCGCACACACACACUCUCGUGCAGACCUCACAGUUUACUUUGUUAUUGUGCAUGAGAGCCCCUGAGCGUGAAAGCCUCCUCAGCAACCGCCCGCCCAGCGUGCACGCACACACACACACACACAGAUGCACACACACACACACGCGCACACACUGAUAUUUUUAGCCAUUGUACAGCCGCUUUACUCAUCAAAGCCUUACCACAGAUCUUUGCACUCCCGCUGGCGUCCGUCCGGCGGUUCGCGGCGCGAGGGGCCGGACGCGUCUUGUUUUUUUUGUUUUUUUUUUUGUUUUUUGUUUCGUUUUUGUUUUCUCACGCUCCGCCGGACGACGAACACCAGGCGAGGGUCGAACGCGAGGCCUUACUUUCUCAAUCCUCUGGGCGGCGCCGUCGGUCGGGUCGCCGCAAGGAGAAGAAGAACGCGCGCCGCCUUCGCGGCGUUGAGCGCAACGGCCGGACGCCGUUCCGAAAGCACAGCUGUCGCCGUCGGAGCCCGUGUUUUUUUUUUUUCUUUGUUCGGCGCUUCUCUUCUGUUCUUUAAACUUCUCAGUGGUUGUCGGACGCGUCGAGUCUCCAUGCAUUCAGUCUUCGUCGUCGGUGCGAUGGGCCAAAACCGUGUUUAGAUGCCAAAGUAUGUUGAUGACCUUCUCAUAGUCGAGCCGUUUACAUGGCACAGUGUUGUCAAAGUCGAUUCAACUGCCCCUGUUCUACCCCCCCCCCCCCCCCCCCUCCCUGAAAAGCCUCGUUUACGGUCUGCAAAAAAAAAAAAGAAAGGCAGCAUUAUUUUCUACAGAAGCUCACCAGUCGCCUUAACCAGGGAGCGUCGUCAGCAGUAUGACCGCAGUAGAAGAUGUUGUUCCAGUCAGUAAUGUGUGCCAAGUCACUCUGUGUCCAGCCAGCCUCCCACCCGUCCAGGUUUUUACGCCAUUUUCAGGCCCGAAACGGUCGUUUUAUUCACAGUACGGCGAAGGGAAGAAGAAAGAAGAAAUAAAAAUAUUGAGGUGAGAAGGAAGCCGGUUGUUUUCUCCCCGGCUGACCGCGGUUAUUAGAAGCAGGGCGAUGUGGAGAGACGUCUUAUUGGAAUAGCGACAGGGGAAAUAAAGUUGGUUGGAGAGGAAAGGGUCACGUCCGCGGGUUGGUGAAAAAAAAACAAAAAAAAAAACAAGCCCGAGUCGAGAUGAAGGCAAUACAGCUUUCAUUAUCCUCUCCAAGACCAAUACUGAACUUUUAUCUGAUCUCAUGGAGGGAGGUGAGCAGACUUUUUUCUCUUUUUCUUAAAUGCAGUACACACUUACACACACACUCUCACACACACACACACACACACGAGCCAAAACAGCCAUAAACUACCUGCGCGGAAAGCCGGACGCGAAUCGUCCAAUCAGUGUUCACGGACCACGUUUUCUCUCCAGCUCUGCGAGCGAAGGUUCCUGAAAGGUACGAUGUGUUCAGCUCUUCAGGAAAAAUGUUUGAAAA